rnacentral:rRNA from 1 species
CGCUGAAGGAUAGGAUUGCUCCCGAUUAUGGUUGUUGGCGAGGUAAUGGCUCACCAAGCCUAUUAUCGGUAAGGGCCGUGAGAGCGGGAGCCCUGAGAUGGGUACUGAGACAAGGACCCAGGCCUUACGAGGCGCAGCAGGCGCGAAAACUUAACCAUGCACGAAAGUGUGAUUAGGUUACCCGGAGUGCUAAAGGUAGAACUUUUAGCUGUUAUAGUGUGUAGAUAACACUAUGAGAAAGGAGAGGGCAAGGCUGGUGCCAGCCGCCGCGGUAACACCAGCUCUUCAAGUGAUCGGGACUAUUAUUGGGCUUAAAGUGUCCGUAGCCGGUUUGGUAAGUCCCUGGUUAAAGCUGGCAGCUUAACUGUCAGUUCGCUAGGGAAACUACCUUACUAGAGGGCGGGAAAGGUGUGAGGUACUCCAGGGGUAGCGGUGAAAUGCGAUAAUCCUUGGGGGACCACCAGUGGCGAAGGCGUCAGACUGGAACGCGCCUGACGGUGAGGGACGAAAGCCAGGGGAGCGAACGGGAUUAGAUACCCCGGUAGUCCUGGCUGUAAACGAUGCGCGCUAGGUGUUGGUAGGGCUAUGAGCUAUAUCAGUGCCGUAGAGAAAUCGUUAAGCGUGCCGCCUGGGAAGUACGCUCGCAAGAGUGAAACUUAAAGGAAUUGGCGGGGAGCACCACAAGGGGUGAAGCCUGCGGUUCAAUUGGACUCAACGCCGGGAAACUUACCGGGGGCGACAGCAGAAUGAAGGUCAGGCUGACGACCUUACCAGACAAGCUGAGCGGAGGUGCAUGGCCGUCGCCAGUUCGUGCCGUGAGGUAUCCUGUUAAGUCAGGCAACGAGCGAGACCCAAAUC